GUCAAAAGCUCUGUCUCCCCUUCGCUAGUUGAUGUGUCAUAUAAGCCUAUCACUACAUAUCCUCUGGAGGUAUCACCAAGUUGUGAACCUAUGAAAGUGGAGUUGUCAUUAUUGGAUCUAUAUGCUGGUUGUGGCGGCAUGUCAAUGGGAUUGUGCCUUGGCACAAAACUCUCUGGUCUUAAUCUUGUGACGAAAUGGGCAGUUGAUUUUAAUAAAGCUGCCUGUGAUAGCCUGAAACUGAAUCAUCCUCAGACACAUGUUAGGAAUGAAGGUGUUGAGAAUUUUCU
rnacentral:misc_RNA from 1 species